UACAGAGACUGCAAGCGUUACUCGGAUUCACUGGGCGUAAAGGGAGCGCAGGCGGGUGUGUGUGUCAGUUGUGAAAUCCCAGGGCUUAACUCUGGAGCUGCGGCUGAAACUACACAUCUAGAGACUCGGAGGGGUGAAUGGAAUUCCUGGUGGAGCAGUGAAAUGCGUAGAUAUCAGGAGGAACACCAACGGCGAAGGCAGUUCACUGGACGAGAUCUGACGCUCAGGCUCGAAAGCAUGGGGAUCAAAA
rnacentral:rRNA from 1 species